rnacentral:rRNA from 1 species
AGGAUAAACGCUGGCGGCGUGCCUAACACAUGCAAGUCGAACGCCCUACGCAAGUAGGGAGUGGCGGACGGGUGAGGAACACGUGGGUUAUCUACCUUUCGGUGAGGAAUACCGGCGAGAAAUCGCCGACAAUACCGCAUAGCUUUCGUAAGAAAGAAAGUCGUAAGACGCCGGAAGAUGAGCCUGCGCCCGAUUAGUUAGUUGGUGGGGUAAAAGCCUACCAAGACGACAAUCGGUAGCUGGUCUGAGAGGACGAUCAGCCACACUGGGAUUGAGAACGGCCCAGACUCCUACGGGGGGCAGCAGUGAGGAAUUUUCGUCAAUGGGGGCAACCCUGAACGAGCAACGCCGCGUGCAGGAAGAAGGUCUUCGGAUCGUAAACUGCUUUUCUCGGGGAAGAGAACGGACGGUACCCGAGGAAUCAGCCCCGGCUAACUACGCGCCAGCAGCCGC